UUUUGAGAUACAAUCACAGUUAACAGGCAGCAGUAAGGAGUCGUUUAGCCUUGCUAUCCCCUAUAAUGCAUUAUAACCUGUACAUUGAUAAACCCCACCUGCUCUCUCUGCACCUAGAGCUGUAGUUAACAGGCAGCAGUACGGAGUCGUUUAGCCUUGCUAUCCCCUAUAAUGCAUUAUAACCUGUACAUUGAUAAACCCCACCUGCUCUCUCUGCACCUAGAGCUGUAGUUAACAGGCAGCAGUAAGGAGUCGUUUAGCCUUGCUAUCCCCUAUAAUGCAUUAUAACCUGUACAUUGAUAAACCCCACCUGCUCUCUCUGCACCUAGAGCUGUAGUUAACAGGCAGCAGUAAGGAGUCGUUUAGCCUUGCUAUCCCCUAUAAUGCAUUAUAACCUGUACAUUGAUAAACCCCACCUGCUCUCUCUGUACCUAGAGCUGUAGUUAGCAGGCAGCAGUAAGGAGUCGUUUAGCCUUGCUAUCCCCUAUAAUGCAUUAUAACCUGUACGGAGUAGAGGUUCAGCUCUAUAACACCCUUCAUAGCAGCAUUAUGUUUAAGCAAUAAGGCCCGAGGCGUUGUGAUAUAUACCACAGCUAAGGGCUGUUCUUGGUCACGACGCAACGCGGAGUGCCCGUAUGUAUACAGUCCUUAGCCGUGGUAUAUUGGCCAUAUACCACAAACCCCUGAGGUGCCUUCUUGCUGUUAUAAACUGGUUACCAAUGUAAUUACAACAGUAAUAUUUUGUCAUACCAGUGGUGUACGAUCUGAUAUACCAACGGCUGUCAGCCAAUCAGCGUUCAGGCAUUGAACCACCCAGUUUAUUAUGGUCUUGAUUUGGUAAUGCGUUAUAACUCAAUGUAUAUUACAGCCUUUAAGCUUCUCUACUCUCUGCGCUCGGAGCUGUAGUUAACAGGCUAUAUAUAAUAAGUUCAAUUGCAGCUGGAAACAUUGAUGACUCCCCCAGACUGACUGGUGUUUUCUGCUGCUCAGCCCAUCACAGCUACAGUCUUUAUUUUAACCAGCCAAUCAGCAUUCAGGGAUUGGCAGAGGGUUCCAAUCAUAAUUUCCACAUUCUGGAACCCUGGAGAGAGAGAGAGUUUCAUUGGACAGCGGUGGGCUUUCCUUCUUUCCUUUGGCUCUUCAGUUUACUGAAGAGUUGGACUUCUGCUGUGAUCGUUCUGUGGAUGUUUGUUUUAUCUGAAGCAGACGCAAGAGGAACUUUAGAUGCUGGGGGAGUUAUCUAUAUAUUUAUUCUAUUGGACCAGAGCGCUCAGAGAGGCAGAAAGACCACAGACUCAGGUGAGAGAUCUGCCAGUUUUGACGGACAUAUUGUGUAUCUCAAACAGUACCCUAUUCUAUCUCUAGUGCACUACUUCUGACCCGAGUGUCCCAAAUGACCCCCUGUUCCCAAUGGUCCCUCGUGUAAAGUAGUGCUCUAUAUAGGGAAUAGGGCUCUGGUCUAAAGUAGUGUACUAUAUAGGGAAUAGGGUCUAUAGUAGUGUACUAUAUAGGGAAUAGGGCUCUGGUCUAAAGUAGUGCACUAUAUAGGGAAUAGGGUUUAUAGUAGUGUACUAUAUAGGGAAUAGGGCUCUGGUCUAUAGUAGUGCACUAUAUAGGGGAUAGGGCUCUGGUCUAAAGUAGUGCACUAUAUAGGGAAUAGGGCUCUGGUCUAAAGUAGUGCACUAUAUAGGGAAUAGGGCUCUGGUCUAUAGUAGUGCACUAUAUAGGGAAUAGGGCUCUGGUCUAUAGUAGUGCACUAUAUAGGGAAUA
rnacentral:lncRNA from 13 species